AUGGCUAAACACCAUCCGGAUUUGAUUUUUUGCCACAAGCAGGCUGGUGUUGCCAUCGGAAGACUUUGUGAAAAAUGUUAUGGCAAGUGUGUGAUCUGUGACUCCUAUGUGCGUCCCUGCACCCUGGUGCGCAUAUGUGAUGAGUGUAAUUACGGCUCUUACCAGGGGCGCUGUGUGAUCUGUGGUGGCUCUGGAGUCUCCGAUGCCUACUACUGUAAGGAGUGCACCAUCCAGGAGAAGGAUGGAGAUGGUUGCCCAAAGAUUGUCAAUUUGGGGAGUUCUAAGACUGAUCUCUUCCAUGAACGUAAAAAGUACGGCUUUAAAAAGAGGUGA